rnacentral:piRNA from 1 species
AGCCGCCAAUGGGGUAACUUUUUU